ensembl:lncRNA
GGGUUCCUGUGUGUGGCCAUUGAACAGAAGCUGGUGGGAGUACCUGGGUUGUUUUCUUUGUGCAGACUUCUUCCUACAGAGAUGGGGGGAAUUAGGAGUGCAGGAGACCAAAGAGAUACCUAGCAUGCUGCACAUCCUGAUUUCUGCUUCUGUUUUCAGGUCUUGCUCUUGCUUCCAGUGGGACCAAAUUUUAAGUCAAGCUUAUGACAGAUUUCAACAUAUAUAAUUAAGAUAUUACCCUGCUCUUAAAGAAGCCGAAUGAAGAAUACAAAGAGCUGUUACACAGUUGUUUAACUCUUGAGAAAGCUUGUUGAGAUGAAGUCAAUAGAACAAUUGUGCAUUUAAUUGCUAAUCUAUUUUGUUUUAUUAAAUGCUCAGUGUUAUUUUCCUAAUUUCAUUACAUGGUAAUGGAUAAUCAAGUAAUGAUCAGUGGCUUAUAAUUUAAAAAUAGCUUAACUGUAUGAAACUGUGGAAAGUAUCUGUCAUCUUGAUGGACAGAAUAAGAACGUAUGCAGGAGGGCUGCUCAGGAAGUAAUGCCUUGUAUUUUAUGUUGGCCCACAAUGACAGAGGUGGCUUUUGUUGGUAUGGUAGUAGAGGCUGAACCUUCCCACCGGUAGUCCAUUACAUGUUAUUGCUGUGUGACAGAUGGCAGCAGAGGGGUAGUAUGACAAAAUGGCAUUUGACAUGGAAGUGGGUAUGAAGCAAAG